CGGGACGGGGGAGUAAUGCUUGGGAAUCUAGCUUAUGGAGGGGGAUAACUACGGGAAACUGUAGCUAAUACCGCGUAGUAUCGGAAGAUGAAAGUGUGGGACCUUCGGGCCACAUGCCAUAGGAUGAGCCCAAGUGGGAUUAGGUAGUUGGGGAGGUAAAGGCUCACCAAGCCGACGAUCUCUAGCUGGUCUGAGAGGAUGACCAGCCACACUGGGACUGAGACACGGCCCAG
rnacentral:rRNA from 1 species